UUAUUCUACUCUACAUUAGUUGAAUUUCAAGAUUUCUGAUUUCACUCUCAGCGGCUGUCAAAUUGAUCCUCGUUCAAUCACUUUGUUCCCAUCGAUCAAAUACAAACUAACAUUAGGAAGAGAGUUGGUAUCCUCGGGUUACCGUAUAUGGAAUUCACAUGGUGAUGCACUGGGAAUACCUUUCAUUAGGAAUGAACCAGUUGAAGAAAUUAUUAAUUAGUACUGAUAAUAACACUGAUAAUAGGAUUAGUGUUACCUUGUUUGUUGUGUGGUUUUUAUACAUGAUGAUUUAUUGAUUAUUUUGUAUGAUAAUGAAUUGUAUUGCUACAUAUUAUUCAUA